rnacentral:rRNA from 1 species
GACGAACGCUGGCGGCGUGCUUAACACAUGCAAGUCGAACGCUGAAGCUCAGCUUUUGUGGGGUGGAUGAGUGGCGAACGGGUGAGUAACACGUGAGUAACCUGCCUCCUUCUUUGGGAUAACGCCCGGAAACGGGUGCUAAUACUGGAUAUUCACUGGUCUUCGCAUGGGGGCUGGUGGAAAGGGUUUUUCUGGUGGGGGAUGGGCUCGCGGCCUAUCAGCUUGUUGGUGGGGUGAUGGCCUACCAAGGCUUUGACGGGUAGCCGGCCUGAGAGGGUGACCGGGCACAUUGGGACUGAGAUACGGCCCAGACUCCUACGGGAGGCAGCAGUGGGGACUAUUGCCCAAUGGGCGAACGCCUGAUGCAGCGUCGCCGCGUGAGGGAUGGGGGCCUUCGGGUUGUGAACCUCUUUCGCUCAUGGUCAAGCCGCAACAAUGGUUGUGGUGAGGGUAGUGGGUAAAGAAGCGCCGGCUAACUACGUG